rnacentral:tRNA from 1 species
AUUUUUAUAGUUGAAUACAACAUUGGCUUUUCAAGUCGGGGGUUUCGGUUAAAAUCCGAAUAAAAAUA